rnacentral:rRNA from 1 species
AUGACUUCAAUCUCCUCGAAAUUCUGGUGGGGUGCAAUAAAUGGUGAAAGGAAAGUGCAUUGGAUUGCAUGGGAUAAAAUUUGCCAGUCUAAACGCAUUGGGGGUAUGGGCUUCCGGGACCCUGAGGCUUUCAACCAGACGUUAUUGGCGAAGCAAGCAUGCAGGAUUUUGCAGGUGCCGGAUUCUCUUUGUGCCAGGGUCCUUCGCGAUCGGUAUUUCAGUGAGAGCUCAAUUAUGAGUGCCACUUGUCCGCCGGGUGGGUCAUAUACAUUCAGGAGCAUUCUUCAUGGGCGAGACCUGCUUCGAGAAGGUAUCGUAUGGCGAAUUGGGGACGGCUCGUCCGUGAACAUCCGCCAUGAUCCAUGGAUACCACGCCAAGGGAGCCUGCUGCCACUGGGCGCGGUGUUUGUCCAGGGCGUGGAGAAGGUGCGGACCUACUGGACCAAACAUGUGUUGCAUGGGAUAUCAAUAAGCUCGACGAAAUGUUCCCUCCGGAUGAUGCCACGGAUAUUAAACAGAUUGUUGUGGGUGGUGCUACCUCUUGAGCACUGUGUUGGUUUUCCCUUGAAAAGGAAAGGGUGA